AUGCAAGUCGAACGAUGAAGCCGGGAGCUUGCUCCUGGUGGAUUAGUGGCGAACGGGUGAGUAACACGUGAGUAACCUGCCCCAGACUCUGGGAUAAGCACUGGAAACGGUGUCUAAUACCGGAUACGAGCUUCAGCCGCAUGGCUAGGAGCUGGAAAGAAUUUCGGUCUGGGAUGGACUCGCGGCCUAUCAGGUAGUUGGUGAGGUAACGGCUCACCAAGCCGACGACGGGUAGCCGGCCUGAGAGGGUGACCGGCCACACUGGGACUGAGACACGGCCCAGACUCCUACGGGAGGCAGCAGUGGGGAAUAUUGCACAAUGGGCGCAAGCCUGAUGCAGCAACGCCGCGUGAGGGACGACGGCCUUCGGGUUGUAAACCUCUUUUAGUAGGGAAGAAGCGAAAGUGACGGUACCUGCAGAAAAAGCACCGGCUAACUACGUGCCAGCAGCCGCGGUAAUACGUAGGGUGCAAGCGUUAUCCGGAAUUAUUGGGCGUAAAGAGCUCGUAGGCGGUUUGUCGCGUCUGCUGUGAAAACUGGAGGCUCAACCUCCAGCCUGCAGUGGGUACGGGCAGACUAGAGUGCGGUAGGGGAGAUUGGAAUUCCUGGUGUAGCGGUGGAAUGCGCAGAUAUCAGGAGGAACACCGAUGGCGAAGGCAGAUCUCUGGGCCGUAACUGACGCUGAGGAGCGAAAGCAUGGGGAGCGAACAGGAUUAGAUACCCUGGUAGUCCAUGCCGUAAACGUUGGGAACUAGAUGUAGGGUCCAUUCCACGGAUUCUGUGUCGCAGCUAACGCAUUAAGUUCCCCGCCUGGGGAGUACGGCCGCAAGGCUAAAACUCAAAGGAAUUGACGGGGGCCCGCACAAGCGGCGGAGCAUGCGGAUUAAUUCGAUGCAACGCGAAGAACCUUACCAAGGCUUGACAUAUACGAGAACGGGCCAGAAAUGGUCAACUCUUUGGACACUCGUAUACAGGUGGUGCAUGGUUGUCGUCAGCUCGUGUCGUGAGAUGUUGGGUUAAGUCCCGCAACGAGCGCAACCCUCGUUCUUUGUUGCCAGCACGUAAUGGUGGGAACUCAA
rnacentral:rRNA from 1 species